AACGCNGGCGGCAANCNUCAUACAUGCAAGUCGAGCGAGAACGUUACUUCGGUAGCUAGUAAAGCGGCGGACGGGUGAGUAACGCGUAGGAAUCUACCUUUCAGCGGGGGAUAGCUCGGGGAAACCCGAAUUAAUACCGCAUAUACCCUAAGGGGGAAAGAGGGCCUAUCCUUGGAAGCUCUCGCUGUUAGAUGAGCCUGCGUGAGAUUAGUUUGUUGGUGGGGUAAUGGCCUACCAAGACUGCGAUCUCUAGCUGGUCUGAGAGGACGAUCAGCCACACUGGGACUGAGACACGGCCCAGACUCCUACGGGAGGCAGCAGUAGGGAAUAUUGGACAAUGGGGGCAACCCUGAUCCAGCUAUGCCGCGUGUGUGAAGAAGGCUCUAGGGUUGUAAAGCACUUUAGGUAAGGACGAAAAGAAUAUAGUUAAUACCUAUAUUCCAUGACUUAACUUACAGAAUAAGGACCGGCUAACUCCGUGCCAGCAGCCGCGGUAAUACGGAGGGUCCAAGCGUUAAUCGGAAUUACUGGGCGUAAAGCGCGCGUAGGCGGUCUGUCAAGUUGGAUGUGAAAUCCCUGGGCUCAACCUAGGAACUGCAUUCAAAACUUAUAGACUAGAGUACGAUAGAGGAGAGUAGAAUUCCUGGUGUAGCGGUGAAAUGCGUAGAUAUCAGGAGGAAUACCAAUGGCGAAGGCAACUCUCUGGAUCGACACUGACGCUGAGGUGCGAAAGCGUGGGUAGCAAACAGGAUUAGAUACCCUGGUAGUCCACGCCGUAAACGAUGAGAACUAGCCGUUGGAUCUUANAUUCNGUGGUACAGCUAACGCAUUAAGUUCUCCGCCUGG
rnacentral:rRNA from 1 species